CAGUAGCCACGGGAAUACGGAGGGAGCUAGCGUUGUUCGGAAUUACUGGGCGUAAAGCGCACGUAGGCGGCCAUUCAAGUCAGAGGUGAAAGCCCGGAGCUCAACUUCGGAACUGCCUUUGAAACUAGAUGGCUGGAAUCUUGGAGAGGCGGGUGGAAUUCCGAGUGUAGAGGUGAAAUUCGUAGAUAUUCGGAAGAACACCAGUGGCGAAGGCGGCCCGCUGGACAAGUAUUGACGCUGAGGUGCGAAAGCGUGGGGAGCAAACAGGAUUAGAUACCCGCGUAGUCCCUGUCUCUUAUAC
rnacentral:rRNA from 1 species